AAUUGUGAUAUAGAUUUUGGGGGGAGUUAAUAGUAGCUUACACAUUAUAAAAAGUGGGAGGUUACUCAUAUAGUAAUAAUUGGUUACUCCUUUAGUUUUCACACGUAUUUGAAAUUAAAUUCAAAUAUUUCUAGUUUUGCAUAUUUACUACUUUUCUUUUUUUAUAGAUAGAUUAUAUUUUUCUAAAAAAUAUAAUUUGCAACAAAAAAAUGGAGCCAAAAAUCGUAUUUUUAUUGAAUUUUAAAAGUUUAAACCGUGUUUGUGUAUGUUUGUGGGUUAGUUCCUGGGAAAUAGGGUAUGGACGUGCUAGUUAGUUUUUCAUAAUUUUUUUUUCUCUUUUUGUCUUUUCUUUUCAUUCCUUUAUUGUCUUUUUAUUUUUAUUUUAAAAUAGGAUUUUUCUCAUAAUGACACUUGUCAUUCUAUCAUGCUUUUGCUUCUCCUAUUAUAUAUAGAUAGAUUUUGCCGAGUACGUAAAUUGCUCCUUCAAGUUUUUUACUAAAAGGUGCAUUUUUUUUUAAUUUUUAAAUUCUGAAUUUUGUGGUGAUGACACUUGUUAUUUUACCAUUCUUUUGCCUCUCCUAUUCUAUAUAGAUAGAUAGAUAGAUUUUUGAUUUUUUGUUGUCUUUUUUAUUUUUUGAUUUGUUAAUUUUUUUUUUUAAAUGUGCACGCGUGCAGAUGUGGUAAGUCAUAUUUGUCUUUUCUUUCUGAUUCUUUGGUGUCUUUUUUUUUUUUUUUUUAAAAAUUAUUAAUUACAAUUUUUUUAAAAAAUAAAAUAAAUGUGCACGUUGUGUGAGUUAGUGACAGAUGUGGUAAGUUAGUUUUCCUUUUUUUUUUUUUCUUUUUUUUGUCUUUUCUUUUUGAUUUUUUGUGUGUUUAUAAUAUUUUGUUGUCUGUUUUAUUUUAUUUAUUUAAUAAUUACGAAUUUUUUUGUGAUGACAUGAUGCUAUUCUAUAUAGAUAGAUGUGAGUUUUACUUUAAUCUUGGCCUUAUCUCACACGUAGCAGCAACUGACAAACCUUUUUUCCAUUUAAUGACACGUAUUUUAACAUUUUCUCGAGCAACAAAUGUAUUUCACAUUCUUCUUAAUUACUCCACAGAUUUUAUCUUCCAUACUCAUUUAUUUAUUUCUCCCUUUUUGAAUCCAUUUCUUUUAUGGAUCUUCUCUUUUUCUAAAUGUCCCAUUCUUUCACUUUUUGCCCAGCUCUUCUAUAUGUAUACAGAGGCUACGCUAGGGAGAAGAGAAGGAGAGUGUUGAUUAUUUUUCCAAAAGUAUCAAUGAUAAGAAAUACUCUAGUGACGUUAGUCAACUAUAGACAAGAGUUUUGAUCAACUUUUAUGCUCGGGGAGAGAUUAGUAUUCUUGGGGUCGUUCGGAAAUCGCGGGACCACCAUUAGCUGAGAAAUCACCCAAGGUUGGACGUAUAUCCAAAGGAUGGACUCGUUGUGGUCAGUCGAAGAUCGAAGUGAGGUUCAGGUAUACCGAGUGGCAGGCGUGCAUUCUAGAUGGUAUAAAUGUUAAGUGAGAUAGUGUAGGCUCCAUUUCUUCCUAGAGCUAAGUCAGAUCUUAUACUUUUUACGUAGAGAUUAUGGAUAGGUCAGGGCCCUGUCCUGACAACAUGUCAGUUGUAUAAUUUCAGUUAUCCUAAAGGCUUCAUAGACGUUUGUGGUCGGGUUCAGUCAUGUAUAGGUUUAGUAUUCUGAUUAUAUGGACAUAUUAUCUUAUAGUUAAUGUUAAUAGAUUUACAGGUUUAUUACGUCAUGUAGAUUAUUACAAUUUCACAGUAGAUGCCUAUAGUAUGUAUGUAGAAUGUAGUCUAUUCCAGUCAAGACUGGGGCGUGACACUAAAAUAGUAACAAGUU